rnacentral:rRNA from 1 species
UGCAUAUUCAGUGAAUCAUCGAGUCUUUGAACGCAACUUG